rnacentral:rRNA from 1 species
GACGAACGCUGGCGGCGUGCUUAACACAUGCAAGUCGAACGGAAAGGCCCUGCUUUUGUGGGGUGCUCGAGUGGCGAACGGGUGAGUAACACGUGAGUAACCUGCCCUUGACUUUGGGAUAACUUCAGGAAACUGGGGCUAAUACCGGAUAGGAGCUCCUGCUGCAUGGUGGGGGUUGGAAAGUUUCGGCGGUUGGGGGUGGACUCGCGGCUUAUCAGCUUGUUGGUGGGGUAGUGGCUUACCAAGGCUUUGACGGGUAGCCGGCCUGAGAGGGUGACCGGCCACAUGGGGACUGAGAUACGGCCCAGACUCCUACGGGAGGCAGCAGUGGGGAAUAUUGCACAAUGGGCGGAAGCCUGAUGCAGCAACGCCGCGUGCGGGAUGACGGCCUUCGGGUUGUAAACCGCUUUCGCCUGUGACGAAGCGUGAGUGACGGUAAUGGGUAAAGAAGCACCGGCUAACUACGUG